CUGGGACUGGCCAGCUGCUCAAAAAGUUAUACUACUCCUUAAGUACGGCCUAAUGAGAAUUGGUGAAUAAGAGGCAGUCUUUGGAUCUGCAGUUGUCGUGUCGGGGAUAUCCAUCACCACCGAAGAGGAAGGCAUACCAAUCAGAAGAGCUUCACUCUCAACUCUCCCUAAGCAGAAAAAUAAUUACUUCAGGGAAAAUCUACCUUGCAAACAAUUUUAUUCAUCUUUUCGCUGGGCCUGGAGAUAUGAAUUCUGCACAGUAACACUCUGAGGGGCCAACAUUCCUCCUUAGUACACAGGUACCUUGGUUUCUGCUAUGAUAUUGAAGAACAAAUCAAGG
rnacentral:lncRNA from 1 species